AUUAUGCUGACAUGAGUAACGAUAAAAUAUGUGAAAAACAUAUUCGCCGUAAAUCCAAGGUUUCCUGGGUAAAGGUAAUCUUCCCAGGGUUAGUCGGACCCUAAGGCCAGGCUGAAAGGCGUAGCUGAUGGGAAACGGGUUAAUAAUCCUGUACUUGUGCGAUUGUGCGAAGAAGGGACGCAGGAUGGUAGACAGGCCGGUUUUUGGAAUCCGGUGCAAGUGUGUAGGUAUGCUCCGCAGGCAAAUCCGCGGGGAUGAGCCGAGACACGAGUCCGUGGGCGUAAGCCCUGAAGCUGUUGAGCCACGGCUGCCAAGAAAAGCUUCUAAGUUUAGAUCGCGCGAACCGUACCGCAAACCAACUCAGGUGGAUGGGAUGAAUAAUCCAAGGCGCUCGAGAGAACUCUGGCCAAGGAACUCGGCAAAUUGACCCCGUACCUUCGGAAUAAGGGGUGCUCCCCACGGUGAGACAAAUUCUUGUUCAGCCCCGGGGAGCCGCAGAGAAAUGGUGGUGGCGACUGUUUACUAAAAACAUAGGUCUGUGCGAAGUCCUACAGACGACGUAUACGGACUGACGCCUGCCCGGUGCCGGAAGGUUAAAAGGAGGAGUCAGCGCAAGCGAAGCUCCGAUUUGAAGCCCCGGUAAACGGCGGCCGUAACGAUAACGGUCCUAAGGUAGCGAAAUUCCUAGUCGGGCAAGUUCCGACCUGCACGAAUGGCGUAACGAUCUCCACGCUGUCUCGGCCAGAGACUCGGUGAAAUUGAAGUCGCGGUGAAAAUGCCGUGUACCCGCAGAAAGACGGAAAGACCCUGUGCACCUUUACUAUAGCUUGACAUUGGGUUUUGAACCUGCAUGUGUAGGAUAGGUGGGAGGCUGUGAAAGCUGUACGCCAGUAUGGCCGGAGCCACCCGUGAAAUACCACCCUUGUUUGUUCAGGACCCUAACUCGCAGCUGUAAUCCAGCGCGAAGACAGUGUCUGUGGGUAGUUUGACUGGGGCGGUCGCCUCCUAAAGAGUAACGGAGGCAUGCAAAGGUUCCCUCAGGCUGAUUGGAAACCAGCCGUUGAGUGCAAGCGCAUAAGGGAGCUUGACUGCAAGAGAGACAUCUCGAACAGAUACGAAAGUAGGUGCUAGUGAUCCGGUGGUCCCGAAUGGAAGGGCCAUCGCUCAUUGGAUAAAAGGUACGCCGGGGAUAACAGGCUGAUCGCAUCCAAGAGUUCACAUCGACGAUGCGGUUUGGCACCUCGAUGUCGGCUCAUCACAUCCUGGGGCUGAAGCAGGUCCCAAGGGUACGGCUGUUCGCCGUUUAAAGUGGUACGCGAGCUGGGUUUAAAACGUCGUGAGACAGUUUGGUCCCUAUCUUCUGUGGGCGUAGGAGAAUUGAGAGGGUUUGUCCCUAGUACGAGAGGACCGGGAUGAACGCACCACUGGUGGAUCAGUUGUCGCGACAGCGGCAUAGCUGAGUAGCUAUGUGCGGAAUGGAUAACCGCUGAAAGCAUCUAAGCGGGAAGCCAGCCUCGAGAUAAGUUCUCCCUGUCGCAAGACACUAAAGGGCCGAUGCAGACUACAUCGUUGAUAGGCCGGAGGUGGAAGCGCUGCGAAGCGUGGAGCUGACCGGUACUAAUAGCCCGUGCGCCA
rnacentral:rRNA from 1 species